GGCCGUGUGGCUCAAUGGCAGAGCGUCUGACUACGAUUCUCUAGAUAAUCAGGAGGUUGCAGGUUCGAGACCUGCCUCGGUCA